rnacentral:rRNA from 1 species
GACGAACGCUGGCGGCGUGCCUAAUACAUGCAAGUAGAACGCACAGUUUAUACCGUAGCUUGCUACACCAUAGACUGUGAGUUGCGAACGGGUGAGUAACGCGUAGGUAACCUGCCUGGUAGCGGGGGAUAACUAUUGGAAACGAUAGCUAAUACCGCAUAAUAUUAAUUAUUGCAUGAUAAUUAAUUGAAAGUUGCAAUUGCACCACUACCAGAUGGACCUGCGUUGUAUUAGCUAGUAGGUGAGGUAACGGCUCACCUAGGCAACGAUACAUAGCCGACCUGAGAGGGUGAUCGGCCACACUGGGACUGAGACACGGCCCAGACUCCUACGGGAGGCAGCAGUAGGGAAUCUUAGGCAAUGGACGAAAGUCUGACCGAGCAACGCCGCGUGAGUGAAGAAGGUUUUCGGAUCGUAAAGCUCUGUUGUAAGAGAAGAACGGGUGUGAGAGUGGAAAGUUCACACUGUGACGGUAUCUUACCAGAAAGGGACGGCUAACUACGG